rnacentral:rRNA from 1 species
AGUGAACGCUGGCGGUAGGCCUAACACAUGCAAGUCGAACGGCAGCACAGUAAGAGCUUGCUCUUACGGGUGGCGAGUGGCGGACGGGUGAGGAAUACAUCGGAAUCUACUUUUUCGUGGGGGAUAACGUAGGGAAACUUACGCUAAUACCGCAUACUACCUACGGGUGAAAGCAGGGGAUCUUCGGACCUUGCGCGAUUGAAUGAGCCGAUGUCGGAUUAGCUAGUUGGCGGGGUAAAGGCCCACCAAGGCGACGAUCCGUAGCUGGUCUGAGAGGAUGAUCAGCCACACUGGAACUGAGACACGGUCCAGACUCCUACGGGAGGCAGCAGUGGGGAAUCUUGGGCAAUGGGCGAAAGCCUGAUCCAGCAAUACCGCGUGGGUGAUGAAGGCCUUCGGGUUGUAAAGCUCUUUUGUUGGGAAAGAAAAGCAGCAGGUUAAACCCCCGAUGUUCUGACGGUACCCAAACAAUAAGCACCGGCUAACUUCGUG